rnacentral:rRNA from 1 species
GAUGAACGCUGGCGGCGUGCCUAAUACAUGCAAGUCGAGCGAACAGACUAGGAGCUUGCUCCUCUGACGUUAGCGGCGGACGGGUGAUUAACACAUGGAUAACCUACCUAUAAGACUGGGAUAACUUCGGGAAACCGGAGCUAAUACCGGAUAAUAUAUUGAACCGCAUGGUUCAAUAGUGAAAGACGGUUUUGCUGUCACUUAUAGAUGGAUCCGCGCCGCAUUAGCUAGUUGGUAAGGUAACGGCUUACCAAGGCAACGAUGCGUAGCCGACCUGAGAGGGUGCUCGGCCCCACUGGAACUGAGAAAAGGUCCAGACUACUACGGGAGGCAGCAGCCGGGAAUCUUCAGCAAUGCGCGCAAGCCUGACGGAGCACCGCCGCGUGAGUGAUGAAGGUCUUCGGCUCGUAAAACUCUGUUAUUAGGGAAGAACAAAUGUGUAAGUAACUAUGCACGUCUUGACGGUCCCUAAUCAGAAAGCUACGGCUACCUACGUG